UACGUAGGGUCCGAGCGUUGUCCGGAAUUAUUGGGCGUAAAGGGCUCGUAGGCGGUUCGUCACGUCGGGAGUGAAAACUCGGAGCUUAACUCCGAGCCUGCUUCCGAUACGGGCAGACUAGAGGUAGGCAGGGGAGAGCGGAACUCCUGGUGUAGCGGUGGAAUGCGCAGAUAUCAGGAGGAACACCGGUGGCGAAGGCGGAUCUCUGGGCCUUACCUGACGCUCAGGCGCGAAAGCUAGGGGAGCGAACUGG
rnacentral:rRNA from 1 species